GCCUAAAGCGUCCGUAGCCGGCUUUGUAAGUUUUCGGUUAAAUCUAUAUGCUCAACAUAUAGGCUGCCGGGAAUACUGCAAAGCUAGGGAGUGGGAGAGGUAGACGUUACUCCGUAGGAAGGGGUAAAAUCCUUUGAUCUAUGGAUGACCACCUGUGGCGAAGGCGGUCUACCAGAACACGUUCGACGGUGAGGGAUGAAAGCUGGGGGAGCAAACCGGAUUAGAUACCCGGGUAGUCCCAGCUGUAAACUAUGCAAACUCAGUGAUGCAUUGGCUUGUGGCCAGUGCAGUGCCGCAGGGAAGCCGUUAAGUUUGCCGCCUGGGAAGUACGUACGCAAGUAUGAAACUUAAAGGAAUUGGCGGGGGAGCACCACAAGGGGUGAAGCCUGCGGUUCAAUUGGAGUCAACGCCAGAAAUCUUACCCGGAGAGACAGCAGGAUGAAGGUCAAGCUGAAGACUUUACCAGACAAGCUGAGAAGUGGUGCAUGGCCGUCGCCAGCUCGUGCCGUGAGGUGUCCUGUUAAGUCAGGUAACGAGCGAGAUCCUUGCCUCUAGUUGCCACCAUUACUCUCAGGAGUAGUGGGGCGAAUUAGCGGGACUGCCGUAGUUAAUACGGAGGAAGGAGAGGGCCACGGCAGGUCAGUAUGCCCCGAA
rnacentral:rRNA from 1 species